UUAGUAGCAAUACUAACUGAGUGGCGAACGGGUGAGUAACGCGUGGGUGACCUACCUUCGAGUGGGGGAUAACGUCCCGAAAGGGACGCUAAUACCGCAUGACAUCCUCUUUUUGAACAGAGAGAGAUCAAAGCCGGGGAUCGUAAGACCCGGCGCUUGAUGAGGGGCCCGCGUCUGAUUAGCUAGUUGGUGGGGUAAUGGCUCACCAAGGCGACGAUCAGUAUCCGGCCUGAGAGGGCGGACGGACACACUGGGACUGAGACACGGCCCAGACUCCUACGGGAGGCAGCAGUGGGGAAUUGUUCACAAUGGGCGCAAGCCUGAUGACGCAACGCCGCGUGGAGGAUGAAGGUCUUCGGA
rnacentral:rRNA from 1 species